UCUAGUCCCAAUGUGAAAACAGGUCUGAUUCUAGUCCCAAUGUGAAAACAGGUCUGAUUCUAGUCCCAAUGUGAAAACAGGUCUGAUUCUAGUCCCAAUGUGAAAACAGGUCUGAUUCUAGUCCCAAUGUGACAACAGGUCUGAUUCUAG